GCGAAGGCUGGGGCAGUGGCGGCGGUGAGGCGGAGGUGGGAAGCGUGGUCCGGAAUCAGUGGGCGGAAAGCGCGCGCAGGGGGCGGGGUACGGCUGGGGGGAAAGCCCGGAGCUCAACGCCGGGACUGCCUUGGAGACGGGAUCGCUUGAGGAUUGGAGAGGGAAGGGGAAUUCCACGUGUAGCGGUGAAAGGCGUAGAGAUGUGGAGGAACACCUGUGGCGAAGGCGCCUUGCUGGCCAAUUUCUGACGCUGAGGCGCGAAAGCGUGGGGAGCAAACAGGAUUAGAUACCCCAGUAGUC
rnacentral:rRNA from 1 species